rnacentral:rRNA from 1 species
CUACGGGCCGCUCCAGUGAGGAAUAUUGCACAAUGGGGGGAACCCUGAUGCAGCAACGCCGCGUGGAGGAUGACGCAUUUCGGUGUGUAAACCCCUUUUAUAUGUCAAGAAAAUGACGGUAGCAUAUGAAUAAGCACCGGCUAACUCCGUGCCAGCAGCCGCGGUAAUACGGAGGGUGCAAGCGUUACUCGGAAUCACUGGGCGUAAAGGACGCGUAGGCGGGUUGGAAAGUCAGGUGUGAAAUCCUACAGCUUAACUGUAGAACUGCACUUGAAACUUCUAAUCUAGAGUAUGGGAGGGGGAGAUGGAAUUCGUGGUGUAGGGGUAAAAUCCGUAGAUAUCACUAGGAAUACCUAAAGCGAAGGCGAUCUCCUGGAACAUUACUGACGCUAAGGCGUGAAAGCGUGGGGAGCAAACAGGAUUAGAUACCCGGGUAGUC